AUUGAACGCUGGCGGCAUGCCUUACACAUGCAAGUCGAACGGCAGCGGGGGAGAAGCUUGCUUUUCCUGCCGGCGAGUGGCGAACGGGUGAGUAAUACAUCGGAACGUGCCCUGUAGUGGGGGAUAACUAGUCGAAAGAUUAGCUAAUACCGCAUACGACCUGAGGUUGAAAGUGGGGGACCGCAAGGCCUCAUGCUAUAGGAGCGGCCGAGGUCUGAUUAGCUAGUUGGUGGGGUAAAGGCCUACCAAGGCGACGAUCAGUAGCUGGUCUGAGAGGACGAUCAGCCACACUGGGACUGAGACACGGCCCAGACUCCUACGGGAGGCAGCAGUGGGGAAUUUUGGACAAUGGGCGAAAGCCUGAUCCAGCAAUGCCGCGUGUGUGAAGAAGGCCUUCGGGUUGUAAAGCACUUUUGUCCGGAAAGAAAUGGCUCUGGUUAAUACCUGGGGUCGAUGACGGUACCGGAAGAAUAAGGACCGGCUAACUACGUGCCAGCCGCCGCCGUAA
rnacentral:rRNA from 1 species